GAUCUGUGUCCUUAGCCUAGUUCUUGGUUCCUUCAUGUUUAUGUAUCAUCCCAAAGCCAGUAUUAUAAGAAUAAUACUUCCUUGAACUCUUAACACAGAAUUCAAAUUUACUAUUUACCGCAGGGUGAGAACAAGGGUUUCACAGGCACAUUGGGGGAAACAAACAGAGUUUCUCUCUGCCCAGAUUCACUCACAUCCAUGGAGGAAAGGAAGAAGGGAGGAUGGGGUCAGAUUGCUGAAUACGACUCAGGUAGCACGUGGUCUGAGAUAGUUUACCAAGAACAAGAUGGCAACAUGGAGCUAAGUCAAUGCAUACUAUCUGUCUCCUCAGAGGAAUAAUAACAAAGUCUUUUACCUUGAUCUGAUGAUAGGAAGCUGUAUUUAGGAGACAGGCGCUGGAAUAAUACCUACUCAUCUUUAUAAAACAAAUGAAGGCACGGAAGAGAACAGAAUAAAGGAUUUUCUGCAUUAAGAGGACAAAGUUGAAUACGGGAAAAUUAACUGAAAGCUACUUUGGUAGCUCCAAAGGAAUUUUAUUGGAAAUUAUUAUUUGAAUAGUACAAGAGAAAGAAUCCUGACACUCACUUCCAAUGUUAGCAUUUUCCCCUGUGUCUUCUCUCAGGUCUGUCUACUUAAGAAUAACCCCAAAUUUCAUUAUUAAGACUGACUUUGAACAUGGAAUCUGGAUUCAAUUCAGAUAUUCUUUCAUUAAAACUCUGAAAUAAAAUUUGUGUUUAUGUUGCUAUUAAAAAAGGGCCGCUCCAUUUCCUAGUACCACAAAAGAAAGCAGAACAAGGAGGUGGAGAAACAGCAUCUCUUCAGUAUUACGUUUAUGAAUAAUCAAAAUUACAUAAUCAGAACUAAGUUGGAAAACCAAAUGAAAAUGCAAGAUAUAGAAUAGAACAGAGCUUGCAAUGAAAAAAAAUUUGCUCACAAGGAGUUAGGGCUUAUAAGCAACAAAUUCCUGUUGAAUUUGAAAGCCAGAUAUUAUACUGUAUUUAACAUCUUCCCCAGCAGACAUUUGCUGUGGCUAAUAAAACUGAACAGACGGGUGACAUGGAGAGCAGGGAGAGACACCAACAUCCUUUCCAGUUUAAGAACUUUCAUGGUGUCACAGUCAGAACCAUCUAUAGCCUAAGCCAAGAUCUCACAACAGGGAAUACCAAAACAAACUUUAUAAUCAAGUAACUAAUAUAAAAGCAUCAGCCCAACAGUAAGGGGCUGUGGUCAUUUUAAGAUAUGUCCACAAAUUCUGAUACUCUCACUUCAAAAGGUAAGACCCUAAUUCCCCCUCCCCUUGAGUGUGGGCCAGACUUAACAACUCCCAAAACCAGGUCACAAAAGGCAUUGUGGCUCCUCUUUGCUAGCUCUCUCUUAAAUAACUCACUCUGGGAAAGCCAGCUGCCAUGCCAUAAGGACACUCAAGCAGCCAGCCCCAUGGAAAAGUCCACAAAGCAAAGAACUGAGGUCUCCAGCCAACAGCCAGCACCGACUUGUCAGGCAUGAGUAGACUGACAUUUGGAGGAGGCUAUUCUGAAGGCAGCCUGGACCAGAGGAAAAAAGGAGAAUUAGACACAACAUUCAACCAUUAAGCAGGACCACAUUUUGCCACUGGAGAUUCAUUCAAUCGAUAAGCUGUUCUGACAUACAUCAAUGUGCCCAUUCACCCAAUCCCACUGACACUUGAGAUCAAACAACUGAAAACAGCGUAAGAGUGAAGCAUAUGUGAAAAAAAAGGGAGUACUUUCUCCAGCUAAUAUUGGGUCCUCCCCUCUAUCACCAUUCCUUACUAGAUUAGGCUUCAAUUUACCAUCCAGAUCAGUGGUCUCCAAAGAAAGCAAAUGCAAAUUUCACAAUGUAAAUAACAUUAAUAUGUUAGUACAUGUAUAUCAUUUUAAAGGAAAUAAUACAUUGGUACUGGUGACAUGGAUUAAGAAUGUUUUAAUAACGGGGACAUAAUCAAAAAACAUUUGGGGACCACUGGCCUACACUAUUCAUAUUGCUGAUAAGAAGUUUAAAAUAAGAUUUAUAAGCUGAAUCUAACAUUUACAUGAAAAUGCCAAGGCCCAAGAAUUGUCAAGGCAAUAUUGAAGAAAACAAAGGUAGAGGACUAUGCUACUAGUUAUCAAGAAUUAUUAUGAAGCUAUAGCUAUUAAUAUAGGGUGGUGCUGGCUCAAGGACAGACAAAUGGACUAAUGGAACAGAAGAGAGCCCAGAAACAGACCUACACAUAUGCAGGCACCUGUUCAACAAAAGUGACGCUGCAGUGCAGUAAGGAUGGUCUCUUUAAUAAAUGGAGUUGAGUCAAGUGGAUAUGGAUAUCUAUAUGCAAAAAAAAUGACAAAAAACCCGAAUUCCUUGUGUAAAUCUGAAGGCAAAAGGAAAAUAAAAAAACUUUUUGAAGAAAGAUACAGAUUAUCUUCACGACCUUGGUAUAGGCAAAUAUUUACUCAACAGGACACAAAAAAUGUUAACUACUUAACAAAAGACACCACUGA